UUUCCCUACAUAAACCCAACACCCCCUCCUCACUUCCCUCUCUGAGAAAAGCCAUUAAGUGAAAGCCUCUAAAAAGGUACUAUGAGUGAUGCUGCCAUCUAUGAAAACCCUAUGGUCGACAACUACUCAAGGGAAAGAAAAAGUGCUCAUGGAUGGAGCCAUGGUUGAGAUUCAGAUCAGAAUGGGAAGUUUUUUGGCAUUACUAGUGAUAAGGUGGCAUUAAUUUGGCGCUAUCCUACCUGAGCUUAUUAAAUUAAGUGUUAUGUUGUUAUCCCUUUCCCGGUUGUGUUUCCUUUUGUUCGGGUCAUUACUUCUUCUUGACCUUGUAAGACCUUUUCUUGACCUUGUAAGACCCCGGGCAAAAUCCGCUAUCCUUAUUAUAUCAGUCGAGAAGGACUUCCUAUUAGACACUACUGAUAAAGAGUUCAAUAAUCAAUACUUGAUGUCCCCAACCUACUCGUCAUCUCCUUCAUUGCCUAUCCCUCCUGAGCUGUUUGAAUUACACUACCAACUUGAAAAAACCCUUUCUAAGUUCUCAUGGAAGGACUGCAACUCUUAUUUGAUUAGGGUCUUAAACAUCUUAUGCCUAUAGCUUUUUUUUUUUUUGGGUUCUCAUGCAGGCCAAGAAAGUUGUUUCUUUCUCGUUAUGUAAUUUUUUUUUUCUUUGUAGUGGAAGCUUUUAUCUAUGAUCGAAUCAUAUCUUCAUACACUGUGUUAUUGGUCUAA